UCCUGCGUAGCUCAGCGGUAGAGUAGGUGGCUGUUAACCACUUGGUCGUUGGUUCGAAUCCAACCGCAGGAGCCA
rnacentral:tRNA from 1 species